AUUGAACGCUGGCGGCAGGCCUAACACAUGCAAGUCGAGCGGAUGAAGGGAGCUUGCUCCUGGAUUCAGCGGCGGACGGGUGAGUAAUGCCUAGGAAUCUGCCUGGUAGUGGGGGAUAACGUCCGGAAACGGGCGCUAAUACCGCAUACGUCCUGAGGCAGAAAGUGGGGGAUCUUCGGACCUCACGCUAUCAGAUGAGCCUAGGUCGGAUUAGCUAGUUGGUGGGUUAAAGGCCUACCAAGGCGACGAUCCGUAACUGGUCUGAGAGGAUGAUCAGUCACACUGGAACUGAGACACGGUCCAGACUCCUACGGGAGGCAGCAGUGGGGAAUAUUGGACAAUGGGCGAAAGCCUGAUCCAGCCAUGCCGAGUGUGUGAAGAAGGUCUUCGGAUUGUAAAGCACUUUAAGUUGGGAGGAAGGGCAGUAAGUUAAUACCUUGCUGUUUUGACGUUACCAACAGAAUAAGCACCGGCUAACUUCGUG
rnacentral:rRNA from 1 species